AUGGCUGUGAGCACCAACACAGAACACAGUGUAUUCCACAUGGAGACAGCACUGCUCUUCAUCCUCAUCAUGGCAGCAGUGUGCAGAGGAAAGGAAGACACUGUUGACCAGCGAUCAACAUCUGAGACUGGACCAGAAGGAGGAACGGUGAUACUUGACUGUAGUUAUGACACAGCUGGCAGCGACAUUGCUUACCUGUUCUGGUAUAAACAGAAACCUAAAGACCAUCCUCAAUAUAUGCUGAGGAGAUAUGCAUAUGGAGGUGGUUUAAAGGAAUUUGAAAAAAGAUUUUUUGCUGAGCUCAACAAAACUACGAAAACAGUUCCUCUGACGAUCAGGAAUCUUCAAGUGUCUGACUCUGCUGUCUACUACUGUGCUCUGAGGCCCACAGUGACAGCUGUUUCUCAGUCAUCAUGCAAAAACCUUAUCUGA